UAUCUCUGUAGAGUCUGCAUAUCAAUAAGCGGAGGAAAAGAAACUAACUAGGAUUCCCUCAGUAACGGCGAGUGAAGCGGGAAGAGCUCAAAUUUGAAAUCUUCAAGGUUCUACCUUGACGAAUUGUAGUUUAAAGAAGUGUUUUCUGUUGGAGUUUUGGUAAAAGUUCUUUGGAAUAGGACAUCAUAGAGGGUGAGAAUCCCGUAUUUGACCAUUACUUUCCAGCUUUGUGAUACACUUUCAAAGAGUCGGAUUGUUUGGGAAUGCAGUCCAAAAUGGGUGGUAAAUUUCAUCUAAAGCUAAAUAUUGGCGAGAGACCGAUAGCGAACAAGUACCGUGAGGGAAAGAUGAAAAGAACUUUGAAAAGAGAGUUAAACAGUACGUGAAAUUGUCAAAAGGGAAGCGUUUGACACCAGUGUUGUUUUCUCGAAAAUCAGAUUAAAAAAGGCAGGAUUUUGUGUUGUAUUGACUUUAUCAGCUUUCUGCACUCUUUUCUUGUCUUUUUUAAUGCACUUUUCGUUUAACAAGUCAACAUCAAUUUCUUUUGUUGUAAAAGGGUCAUUGGAAGGUGGCUUUCUUUUCGGAGAAAGUGUUUAUAGCCUUUGGCCUCUGCAAUCGGAGAGAUUGAGGUCUGCAGCGUAGAUCCUUCGGGGUUAGAUACAUUUGUGCUAAGUUAUAGCCUUUCAUAGACAACUUGUUGACUAUGAUCAGUCAUGUAGCUUACUCGCUUAUGCUAUUUUACCUACGCUUAGGAUGUUGAAGUCAUCGUAUCGCGC
rnacentral:rRNA from 1 species